rnacentral:rRNA from 1 species
ACUCAAAGGAAUUGACGGGGGCCCGCACAAGCGGUGGAGCAUGUGGUUUAAUUCGAUGCAACGCGAAGAACCUUACCUACUCUUGACAUCUCUGGAACCCUGCUUAGCAGCGGGGGUGCCGAAAGGAACCAGAAGACAGGUGCUGCAUGGCUGUCGUCAGCUCGUGUUGUGAGAUGUUGGGUUAAGUCCCGUAACGAGCGCAACCCUUGUCCUUAGUUGCUAACACGUCAUGGUGAGCACUCUAGGGAGACUGCCGGUGAUGAACCGGAGGAAGGCGGGGACGAGGUCAAGUCAUCAUGGCCUUUAUGAGUAGGGCUACACACGUGCUACAAUGGUAUAUACAGAGGGUAGCCAACCCGCGAGGGGGAGCCAAUCUCAAAAAGUAUAUCGUAGUCCGGAUUGGAGUCUGCAACUCGACUCCAUGAAGUCGGAAUCGCUAGUAAUCGCGAAUCAGAACGUCGCGGUGAAUACGUUCCCGGGCCUUGUACACACCGCCCGU